rnacentral:rRNA from 1 species
UCUGGUCUUGGGACACUGUCAGGUGGGCAGUUUGACUGGGGCGGUCGCCUCCCAAAAGGUAACGGAGGCGCUCAAAGGUUCUCUCAGUACGGUCGGAAAUCGUACGUAGAGUGUAAAGGCAAAAGAGAGCUGGAUUGCAAGACAUACAGGUCGAGCAAGGAUGAAAAUCGGACUUAGUGAUCCGGUGGUUCUGCGUGGAAGGGCCAUCGCUCAACGGAUAAAAGCUACCCUGGGGAUAACAGGCUUAUCUCCCCCAAGA